CAGUCGCCACGGGAAUACGAAGGGGGCUAGCGUUGUUCGGAUUUACUGGGCGUAAAGGGCGCGUAGGCGGACUGAUAAGUCAGGGGUGAAAUCCCAAGGCUCAACCUUGGAACUGCCUUUGAUACUGUUUGUCUUGAGUUCGAGAGAGGUAAGUGGAACUGCGAGUGUAGAGGUGAAAUUCGUAGAUAUUCGCAAGAACACCAGUGGCGAAGGCGGCUUACUGGCUCGAUACUGACGCUGAGGCGCGAAAGCGUGGGGAGCAAACAGGAUUAGAUACCCGCGUAGUCCCUGUCUCUUAUAC
rnacentral:rRNA from 1 species